AUGACCACAACUGUUUCUAUCCCUUCGCCCCGUCCAACCAUAGCGCUCGCCGCCCUCGAGAGCUUCUUCCGCGCCGUCUCGCCCGAGGCUGUAGGUGCCGUCGUCGACUACGUGCUCGCCUCCUCCCCCUCCUCCACCCCGCCCUCCGAGCUCUUCCGCUCCCUCCGCCGCUCCUUCCCCAAGGUGCAGGACGACGGCCACGGCCAUGUCACAGCUUUCUACCAUCUGCUCCCCCGCCUCGGCUACCCCAAAGACGCCAUGUGCGCGAUGCUUGUGAGGACCUUCCCGCCGCUAGCUCCUCCACCGCUGCUGCUACGAGCUGUGUAG
rnacentral:rRNA from 1 species